CUCCCCAAUUCACGCGCCGGCUUCUUCUCCUUCCCUGCCAACGCUCUCAAUGCCAAAUUCUAUUACUCAUCAGUUAUCAUGCAUCUCCUCCUCUACCAUCCCCAUCUCCAUGACGCCAUUCGCCUCCCAAUCCAGAUCCAUCUCUUCUACAAACCGAUCCAUGCGUUCGCCCAUGGGAUUCUCCAUGGAUCCCACCUCUCUUACCCGGCCUUCUGUAAUCCCAUGACAUAGCAUCUUCCAUUCGUCCGGCGUGGUCGAGGCAUCCUCACGGGGCAUGGGCCUGAGUUGUGGCGUGAUGGCAAUGAGGUAUCCCAAAUCAGCAGCACCUGGGAGGCGACAUGCAGCCGACGGGUAUGGGGUGGGCGGCGCGGGGUUGGUGGCGUUGGUGGCGUUGGUGACGCACAGUGGCGCGAGCGCUUGGCGAUGAUUGAAACCAAUCCAAGCCAGGAUGAAUUGCAUGUACGAAUUUGAUUGCCAUGGAUCUUUCACUUGGACUUGAGCGCCACCACAAGUACUUAAGUAUUUUGAUCUGCCUUGGUCGUCCACGCUCAUGUCUGCUGCCUGCUGGUACUACCGUGCUUGAGGGGAUGAAUCUGGAGGCCUCUCCAUAGCGGACUUCCUAUUUCAAUCCCGCUGCUGUAUCAGGUUUAAACAAUAGGGGAUCCGACACAUGGCUCACAUGGGUGUCAUACUUUGCAUUUGUUUGAGGGCAUGUUCAUCUUGAUUUCUUUUGGAUUCAACAAGAAAUGAAAGAAAAAAAUACAUUGGCAUUCAACCGUCUAGGGUCGUCAAUUUAUAUGAAGUAAGAUUGUUUAUUCUAAGUGCUCACCAUAUUUUUUUACAUUAUUGAUUCUCAAGUCACCGGGCCAGGUAAUCCCAUGUUAUUAUGAUAUUUUUUCAUUAACAUUAAUGUUUCAGUUGCUGUGAAUACAAUUAUUCACUUUGGAGUUAUCUGGAGAAGUAUGCAAACAACAUGUUCUGUUCUCAUGAUCGCACAAUUUGUAUCCAAAAACUAUUGCAUCAAGUCCAAUUUCUAUAUCUCACAAAAGGUAGUACAGUAGCAUAUACAUGUAAUAAAAAUUACGCUUGAGCAACUAAUAACUUAUGAGUGAUCCAUGUUGCCCUCUUCUAAUAUGCAAAAGUACACAUGUUUCUCUCAUCACCAUUUUUGCAAUUGAAUAAGAAUGUGUCAGCUACUUUGUCAGAGAUUGUCGUCCAAACAUGCUAUUUUGCUUCAAACUAUGGUUUACUCAAGAUGACAUAUUUAUGGUUUCCUCAUGGUGUUUGCGUGCGACUUUGCUUUGUAACUAAGUUUAUACAUUUUUAGUUAUUUUAUAUUUGUUGUUGUUCUGGGGAGUUGACAAGUGGAAGACCUUCUCGACUAUAUAGCCAUUCAUAGUAAAUAGAAGGGACCCUAAAUAGAAUGGUGAAUUUGAAAUAGAAUUGGGAAUUUGUUUGUAUGCUCAAUAGAAAAGUUAAUUGUAUGUACAAGUUUAGAAGCAAAAGCUUUCGCGAUGUACCCAUUGUUUUAUGUUUUCUUCUCCUUAC